UACGAAGGUGGCAAGCGUUACUCGGAAUUACUAGGCGUAAAGGGCAGGUAGGUGGUUUGAUAAGUCUGUUGUGUAAGCUCCCGGCUUAACUGGGAGAGGUCAACGGAAACUAUCAGACUUGAGUAUAGGAGAGGAUACUGGAAUUCCCGGUGUAGCGGUGAAAUGCGCAGAGAUCGGGAGGAACACCAAUGGCGAAAGCAGGUAUCCGGACUAUUACUGACACUCAGCUGCGAAAGCUAGGGGAGCAAACAGG
rnacentral:rRNA from 1 species